GGAGAGGUGGCUGAGCGGUUGAAAGCGCUGGUCUCGAAAACCAGUGUGCCCUUUGGGUACCCAGGGUUCGAAUCCCUGCCUCUCCG
rnacentral:tRNA from 1 species